GACAGAGGGUGCAAACGUUGUUCGGAAUUACUGGGCGUAAAGCGUGUGUAGGCGGUCUCUUAAGUCGGAUGUGAAAUCCCCGGGCUCAACCUGGGAACUGCAUUUGUGACUGCAUGGCUGGAGUGCGGCAGAGGGGGAUGGAAUUCCGCGUGUAGCAGUGAAAUGCGUAGAUAUGCGGAGGAACACCGAUGGCGAAGGCAAUCCCCUGGGCCUGCACUGACGCUCAUGCACGAAAGCGUGGGGAGCAAACAGG
rnacentral:rRNA from 1 species